rnacentral:precursor_RNA from 12 species
CAGUGCACUUCCUGCCUUCCGUUCCCUGCUCCAUUCCCCACUCCAGCUAUGUCAGAUAUAGACUCCUAGACUGGCUGGGAGGAGGAAGGUUGCAGUGUUUGGAUCAGGUUCCCGGAAGCCAG